rnacentral:rRNA from 1 species
UACGGGGGGAGCAAGCGUUGUUCGGAUUUACUGGGCGUAAAGGGCGCGUAGGCGGUCAUGACAAGUCACUUGUGAAAUCUCCGGGCUUAACUCGGAACGGUCAAGUGAUACUGUCGGACUAGAGUACAGAAGGGGCAACUGGAAUUCUCGGUGUGGCGGUGAAAUGCGUAGAUAUCGAGAGGAACACCUGCGGCGAAGGCGGGUUGCUGGGCUGAUACUGACGCUGAGGCGCGAAAGCCAGGGGAGCGAACGGGG